AUUGAACGCUGGCGGCAGGCCUAACACAUGCAAGUCGAACGAGUGGCGGACGGGUGAGUAAUGUCUGGGAAACUGCCCGAUGGAGGGGGAUAACUACUGGAAACGGUAGCUAAUACCGCAUACCAUCGGAUGUGCCCAGAUGGGAUUAGCUAGUAGGUGGGGUAACGGCUCACCUAGGCGACGAUCCCUAGCUGGUCUGAGAGGAUGACCAGCAACACUGGAACUGAGACACGGUCCAGACUCCUACGGGAGGCAGCAGUGGGGAAGAUGGCACAAUGGGAGCAAGCCUGAUGCAGCCAUGCCGCGUGUAUGAAGGAGGCCUUCGGGGUGGAAAGUACUUUCAGCGAGGAGGCGUUACUCGCAGAAGAAGCGCCGGCUAACUCCGUGCCAGCGGCGGCGGUAAUAC
rnacentral:rRNA from 1 species